GACAACUGAGUGGGGAUAACUCCAACGCCAUAACCCCUCACUCGACCAUAACGCUCCGAGCCCAUCAAUUUGGUAAACACCUGAGCUUCGAUACCUCUGGUAUUGCCGAUUGAAGAUGACUCUCCGAUACGCUCUGAAAUAAGGGAUGUAGCUCUGUCCUAUAUCUCUCAAAAACAAUCAAAUUAAUUUUUGAAAAAUUGAAAUACAUGAAAAAUCAUUGUACAAAUUAUUAAUGAAUACAUACAACUAUAUCUCUCGACUCCUCUCGGACAAAGCUGCCAUCUCGGUGGGUGUGAGUCAUCUUAUAUAACUC
rnacentral:lncRNA from 1 species